UCAUCCUAGCUGGGACUCGAACCUGGAACCUUUGGAUUAGAAAUUCAACAUGCUAUCUACUGCGCUACUGGGAG